UCAGUUCGGAUUGUAGUCUGCAACUCGACUACAUGAAGCUGGAAUCGCUAGUAAUCGCGAAUCAGAAUGUCGCGGUGAAUACGUUCCCGGGUCUUGUACACACCGCCCGUCACACCAUGGGAGUCGGGAAUGCCCGAAGUCAGUGACCCAACCGGAAGGAGGGAGCUGCCGAAGGCAGGCUCGAUAACUGGGGUGAAGUCGUAACAAGGUACC
rnacentral:rRNA from 1 species